rnacentral:misc_RNA from 1 species
CCGAUACCCACACGUACGGAGGACGAACGUCCGACGUACAGGCAGUUGUUGGAGGAACACGCGGCCGCCGCCGGCUCGACACAGCGUCGGGUCGGUCGGCAUGCAGUCGUUACGUGAACAGCAGCGAAGAAUACCCGUUGACGCUUCGGGGUACCUGUCGCACGUCGUCCGUCAUUGCGUGCGGUGAGCAGGCCUCGGGCUUCGGCCCCCGGUCGGCGAAGGUCCAACGAACCGUCCGCGCGUGCGAGCGCGCGUUCGGUCGCCCCGUCGCAUUCUCAGUUGUCAGUCAGUUACCGGUUAUAGUACGGUCGUGUGUGUGUGUGGUGUGAGGACAAGCCAAACUUGAAAGAGUUACACAGAC